GACAGAGGCCCCAAGCGUUAGUCGGAAUUACUGGGCGUAAAGGGCGCGUAGGCGGCCAUCUAAGUCAGACGUGAAAUCCCCCGGCUUAACCUGGGAACUGCGUCUGAUACUGGACGGCUCGAGUUUGGGAGAGGGAUGCAGAAUUCCAGGUGUAGCGGUGAAAUGCGUAGAUAUCUGGAGGAAUACCGGUGGCGAAGGCGGCAUCCUGGACUAACACUGACGCUGAGGCGCGAAAGCUAGGGGAGCAAACAGG
rnacentral:rRNA from 1 species